CCUACGGGGGGCUGCAGUAGGGAAUAUUGCUCAAUGGGGGAAACCCUGAAGCAGCAACGCCGCGUGGAGGAUGAAGGUUCUAGGAUUGUAAACUCCUUUUGUUAGAGAAGAUAAUGACGGUAUCUAACGAAUAAGCACCGGCUAACUCCGUGGCAGCAGCCGCGGUGAUACGGAGGGUGCCAGCGUUACUCGGAAUCACUGGGCGUAAAGAGCGCGUAGGGGGGAUAGCAAGUCAGAUGUGAAGUUCUAUGGGUUAACCAUAGAACUGCAGUUGAAACUGUUAUUCUAGAGUAUGGGAGAGGUAUGUGGAAUUCGUGGUGUAGGGGGGAAAUCCGUAGAGAUCAAGAGGAAUACUCAUUGCGAAGGCGGCCUGCUGGAACAUAACUGACGCUGAGGCGCGAAAGCGUGGGGAGCAAACAGGAUUAGAUACCCUAGUAGUC
rnacentral:rRNA from 1 species